ACUCGAACAAACAUACAUUUCCGCCAUUUUUUAAAAAAGAAAUGUGCACGUUCACGUUGCCCAAGAUUGUUUUCCAGUGAUUUGCGAGUACUUUUGCCACUCGAAUUUACUCAAAUGCAGUUCUGUACAGUACUCCAACAACUGAUACAACCUUGAGUAUGAGCCACUUACAUGUACGUCAUUGAGGCACCUACUACCACAGACUGGAGAAAUAGCCAUGGCAUGUUAGCUUCUUUUGUGAUAGUGUUCUGCAGUUGAUCAGCAUCACAGAACCAGCUUUGUAAAGAACUCUUGCCAAGUGUUGACGUUCAUGAAUCAACAUUCAAGAAAGAAGAAUUCUUCAGCGACACUGGAGGAGUCACUGCAGGCCAAUACAAGUUGCUGAAGGCCACUACAAGUUGCUGAAGGUCACUACAAGUUGCUGACCGUCUCUACAAGUUGCUGACCUUCUCUACAAGUUGCUGAAGGCCACUACAAGUUGCUGAAGGUCACUACAAGUUGCUGGAGGUCACUACACGUUGCUGAAGCUCACUGUUGGUCCAAACUGUCACCUGACCAAACAGAUGUGCAUAACAGCUCCCCCAGUGUGGAUUUCUUGAUGUACCGAUGCUGAUUUGAUGAUGUGGGCUAUGGACAUUUGGAUUUCUUCACCAGCAUUGCCAUUCCACAGCUUGGACGUUGAGUAGUAUGAACAUGCACAGUUAGAGCAGAACUAUAUAGGGAAUACCCUCAGACCCCCUUAGGUCCAACUCACUGGUACAUACAGUAGUGUUUGGGCCCAGGAAACAGUCGUUUGUUGCCUGCAGUUCCAUCCCUCUUUUGCUGCCAGUGACAGGACACUCAGAAGUAGAUAUGAUGAAAGAAUCAACUUGACUUUGGCAGAUCGUGUUUUAAGUUUGGUGUAAUUGAUGCCAGUUACUCACGGAGGAGUUUCAGCUUUUACAAUGAAUGUUGUGACACGUACUUGUUUGUGCAUUCAUGUAUGUGCCUGAUUCGGCUUGCCUUGUGAUGUCUCUAUCAUGAUGCAUCUACCAAAUUGGAUAAUGUAAGAGCCAUCCACACUACGGGGGAGAAUGCAAUGUCAGCCUUAGAUCAACCCCAUGUCUGAGAUUGAGCAAGAUGGAGAAGCACGCACUCCCUGAGACCUUGAGACCUAUCCAGCAAGCACGAUAACAUCCUUGCAUAAGGAUUUUGUUGCACAGUUUGUCUGAUGUUAACUCUCACAGGAUGUAUUGAGUGGUUUAUGCAGGUCACCUACCUGUAGGUGACUGUGGAGAUGACCUAAGUUUUGAACACAUCUCCUCUGCCCAUCUCCCCUCUGCUAAUGGCAAUGAUGCAUUCCAAGCUGGAUUGAGAGAGACCCAAGUUUGUUGAUGAGCCCUUUGAGACAUUGGUUUGAUGAAUGAUCCAUACCAUGACUUGCUUCAAGGAAGGAACAAAGUGUGUUUAGGAGAUGCAACAGUUGCUAAGGAGAUGCUUGGGAUGCAUGCUGCCACAGCCUACUGGGAUGUGAUGACAUGAAUGCCAUAAAUGAACUGACUCUUGGCAAUUUGAGGCACAUACUGCCAUGGACAAUCAAACACAGCAUGGAACUUGAACUCUUAGAAUAUGUCAAAGAGCACUUGACCUCUCCUGUCUUGAGUGUCUUAAGGAUCACUGAAGAUUUUCUUGGUAGACAUAAUCAUCCUUGGGUAGGCCUACAUGUACUCUAACGCAGGUGUUUGAAGGAUGAUCCUUACAAUUUGGCCAAAGCCUUUAAGUUGUGCUUUCCUAGUUAAUGGGCACAAUGUAAUCGUGAGCUGAGACAAAGUGAUACCUCAGAGUGACUCGAAAUUGAAUUCAGACUGUCUUGCAGACUUUUUCGUUGCAAAAUGGGUUAAAAAAUGAAAAUGGUCCCAAAGUUUCAGGGCAGCCAAGGGCAGGAGAGGUGGAGUAUUAGACACAGCUUGAGAUGGAAAGACAUUCACUUGAAAGGCAGUCAACAAUUUCCUUGAAGACUUUCAAUUAUUUUCUUUCUUCUUUCUUAUACCAGAAUUCUAAUUCGGCUCCACAGCUUUGUCCUUUUCUGUAAAAUAUGUUGAGGACAGUACCCUCUUAAUCACUUGGGAAAAACAGAGAGUUUCUGUUGAUGUUUAUCAAAUGUAAGUGCUCUAAACUUAAAAGAAUGAUUGAUGUAAUUGUUGACUGCCUGAAGGUGUUGUCAAAAUGAUACCUUAAUAUCAAGUCAUCAUCAAGGUAACUGGGCUCCUACAAAAGCCAGCUUGUUACUUCAGGGGAGUUUUGCUUUGGUUUGCAUGGUUCCAACCAGCACAUGUGAUCUCCCAUUUUUAAACAAAUUAUUAUUAGUUGUAUUCUACUUUCUUUUCACUUAUCAUCCUGAAUCAGAUUGAAAUCAGUACCGCACCACUUGGACUUUCCUCACUCUGACUUCCAUCACAGAUCUAAGAAAUCUCAAUCUGAGAAAUUUCCGCAGCAAUGUCAUCAAUUUACACAAUGUUAUAGAAUAAUAUUUAUUGCUUGGCGAUGUUCUUUGGCAUCAAGCCAAAAAUGUUUUUUGUGGGAGCCGGUUACAUUGAGCAAAAGAUAGUUGGAGGUGAUUUUAACAAUGCCUGUAAGGUAAUACUUUCAUUGGGUACAAGAUUGGUCAUUGGUCACUGAAGCGUAUUUUUGAAUUAGUCUCCGUGUAUCCAAUGCAGAUAGAAACAAUACUUGUUUUAUUUUGCACUUUCCUUGGCUGUACCAGUAGUGCAAAAUACUGGAGCUUGAUAUUAACAUACACGAGGAGAGUAAGAAUUCCCCAGAACUUGACCAAACUGGAAAUCUACUAGAACUAAUCUGAAGCGUGGCAUACAAACAAACAAAAAGACAACUUUUUGCCAAGCUUUGUCACCAUAUUCGACAAACAUCAAGGAAGGGAGACUUUAUUUUGUUAAUUGUAUUUGUUUUUGCAAGUAGGAAGACUUUAACAAACUGCCAUUUUUCAUUUCUACUGAUUCAGAUUUCCUUUUUUGGGAGGAGGGAGGAGAGUUUCAAAAGCAUCUCUUUUUUUUUUAGAGUAUUCAUGACUCAUAAACUUAUGGAAUUGUUUCAGUAUGAAAUGUACAAUUUUUGAAUUACUAAGUCAAACAAAAUCUAAACAAAAAUUUGUUUUUGUUUUCACUUGGUUCAUUUUUCAAGGUUACUCUUGAUUACAUUAUCACAGUAUUUUAUCCUUUUUUCGUCUAGUGGUGCAUCUGAUACUAAAUGUUAGUCUCCUUUUACCUGACCAAUCUUGUGCCCAAUAUAUUACGCUUGUCUCGUAUAAUCAGCACCAGCAAGUACCUCAAACAUAAAAACAUCCAUUUAGUCUGACUCUUAAUUGGCAGUUUUGAGGAAAAGUCACUCAAUACCACAAAUUUCUUCAGAAUUCCAAAUUCAAACUGUCAGUUAAUGCAUGUAUAUUCCUGUUUAGAGAUUUUUGGCUAGAAGUCCGAAGGUUAGAGUGGAUGUACAUGCCAGUACAUGGAGGCCUAUUUCUUUCACAGGGGCAUCAUGGAGAAUA
rnacentral:lncRNA from 1 species